rnacentral:rRNA from 1 species
UGGGGAAUAUUGGGCAAUGGGCGCAAGCCUGACCCAGCGACGCCGCGUGGGUGAUGAAGGCCUUCGGGUCGUAAAGCCCUGUCGGGUGGAAAGAACGGGAGGGGGGCAAAUAGCCCAUCGACGUGACGGUACCACCGAAGGAAGCACCGGCCAAUUCCGUGCCAGCAGCCGCGGUAAGACGGAAGGUGCAAGCGUUGCUCGGAAUCACUGGGCGUAAAGGGUGCGUAGGCGGCCUGGUAAGUCUGGCGUGAAAGCCCAGGGCUCAGCCCUGGAAGUGCGCUAGAAACUGCGAGGCUGGAGUGCCGGAGGGGAGAGUGGAAUUCCUGGUGUAGCGGUGAAAUGCGUAGAUAUCAGGAGGAAUACCGGUGGCGAAAGCGACUCUCUGGACGGCAACUGACGCUGAGGCACGAAAGCGUGGGGAGCAAACAGGAUUAGAUACCCGCGUAGUCC